UUCGGUCAUAUCACGUUGAAACACCGGUUUCUGUACAAUCACCGAGGUUAAACAACGUCGAGCCUCAUCAUUACGGAGAUGGGUGACCGCUUUGAAAUACCAGGUGCUGCAAU